GAUGAACGCUGGCGGCGUGCCUAAUACAUGCAAGUCGAGCGAACAGAUGAGGAGCUUGCUCCUCUGACGUUAGCGGCGGACGGGUGAGUAACACGUGGAUAACCUACCUAUAAGACUGGGAUAACUUCGGGAAACCGGAGCUAAUACCGUAUAAUAUAUUGAACCGCAUGGUUCAAUAGUGAAAGACGGUUUUGCUGUCACUUAUAGAUGGAUCCGCGCCGCAUUAGCUAGUUGGUAAGGUAACGGCUUACCAAGGCAACGAUGCGUAGCCGACCUGAGAGGGUGGUAGGCCACACUGGAAGUGAGACACGGUCCAGACGCCUAAGGGAGGCAGCAGUAGGGAAUCUUCCGCAAUGGGCGAAAGCCUGACGGAGCAACGCCGCGUGAGUGAUGAAGGUCUUCGGAUCGUAAAACUCUGUUAUUAGGGAAGAACAAAUGUGUAAGUAACUAUGCACGUCUUGACGGUACCUAAUCAGAAAGCCACGGCUAACUACGUG
rnacentral:rRNA from 1 species